rnacentral:lncRNA from 1 species
UAUACUCCUUGUGUGAGCCUUUAAGGCAGGUCUAGUGGCAGUGGGGCUGGCUCGGCGGAUCCCUGUCAGUCACUUUGCUCUCGUACUAAGUGUACUUUUGUGCCAUUUAAGCAGCCGAUGGUGUCAUUGGCGUUGAGAGUGCAGCUUCUACAGCUCACACUGAAGGCUUUGGGGACCCAGGAGGGCGCGAGUUGUUUUAAGAUACAUGGCCAUUUGACAUACCCGUGUUAAGUUCAAUCUUGCUACAAAAGAAGGCCAUUUGUACUUCCUGACCCUGAAAGCAAGGAUGCCAAAAUGACUCGAUGAUUUAUUUAUGCAGCGCUUGGCAGCCCAUCGUCCAGAUUGUGGCUGAAGCUGAAUUUUAUGAGCCUUCCCCCAGUCAAGAGGAACACACGUUGUGAAGCUCAGGUGAGAAGGGUUUAGAACAAAACUCAGGAGCUGAAGGCAUGAAGAUUCCGACAGCACGGGUCAAAAGCAGCUCUGCAGCUCAGCGUUGUGCUUGGAGCUGGUGCUGUAUUGUGGAACGAUGUUCAGGCUUACACUGUGUGAAACAAGGCUACCAUGGAAAGGAGGGCUUUAUCCAUGAACGACAGAAAGUGACCUCACAGGUCUGAGAGCCUGUCAUCCUGAUUGGUCCAGAAAAACUGGAAGAUUUUGCCAUCUUACAAGCCCUCUUCCUUAAGAAAGAGAAAGAUGAGCAGUAAAUAUCCUCUGGCACGUCGGCACAUUCUGUCUCUUCGUGUUUUCAUGAAGUGUUCAUGACAUGGGAUUGAAGUACUCCUUUGUGUUCAGUAUUUGAUAUCAAAUCCUUUACAAAAAAUAUUUUCAAAUUGUCAUAUGAAGACUCAACAAAAAGAAAAACAGAGAAGAAGGAGGAAAAGAAGAAGAAAGAAGAAUAAAAAGAAA